rnacentral:rRNA from 1 species
GACGUGAGGCGCGAGCGUUGUCCGGAUUUAUUGGGCGUAAAGAGCUCGUAGGCGGUUUGGUAAGUCGGGUGUGAAAUCUCCACGCUCAACGUGGAGGGGCCACUCGAUACUGCCAUGACUCGAGUCCGGUAGAGGAGUGUGGAAUUCCCGGUGUAGCGGUGAAAUGCGCAGAUAUCGGGAGGAACACCCGUAGCGAAGGCGGCACUCUGGGCCGGAACUGACGCUGAGGAGCGAAAGCGUGGGGAGCAACAGG